rnacentral:rRNA from 1 species
GAUGAACGCUGGCGGCGUGCUUAACACAUGCAAGUCGAGCGGAGAUAUAAAAAGGAAGCCCUUCGGGGUGGAAUUUUUACAUCUUAGCGGCGGACGGGUGCGUAACACGUGGGUAACCUGCCCCUAUCACUGGGAUAACACACUGAAAAGUGUGCUAAUACCAGAUAACAUAAGCUUUUGGCAUCAUUAGCUUAUCAAAGAAUUUCGGAUAGGGAUGGGCCCGCGUCUGAUUAGCUAGUUGGUGAGGUAACGGCUCACCAAGGCAACGAUCAGUAGCCGACCUGAGAGGGUGAUCGGCCACACUGGAACUGAGACACGGUCCAGACUCCUACGGGAGGCAGCAGUGAGGAAUAUUGGUCAAUGGACGCAAGUCUGAACCAGCCACGUCGCGUGAAGGAAGACGGCCCUACGGGUUGUAAACUUCUUUUAUACGGGAAUAAAGUGCCCCACGCGUGGGUUUUGCAUGUACCGUAUGAAUAAGGAUCGGCUAACUCCGUGCCAGCACG